rnacentral:lncRNA from 1 species
UUUACGGGUUUCUCAUCAAACGUGAAAAGACGAGAGGUUAGUCCUAGCAAGGAUUUGUAUAGUAUCCUUGGUCCUAUAACAUAUGACUUCACAUUCUUAUUCAAUUUUUAACGUUUUUAUACUGAUAUUUUCAUUUUUUAUUUUUUUUGGUGGCACAUUGAUAGUAAAAAAAAAUAUCAGAACAGUAAAUAGAAAUAGUAAAUAAUGCCCCCGAGGUCAUAUGUUAUAGGACUAGACGAGAGGUAUAACUUUUAUUUUUACCAAGGAUUUGUAUAGUCUAACUAUACAAAUCCUUGUUUUUACCAACACUAGAUAAAGUAAAGAUAUAGCCAGUCACAGUACGUUUCUUUUUGACUAAAGUUUAAAAUAGCAACUUCAGAAAAUGCAGUAUUUUUAAGAAUAACCGACUAAAACGGGAGAGGGAUGUCAACCAAAAGCAUUGCCCGUCAAAAAAGGGGGUUCAAGACACACACACCCUCCCCUGGAGUUCGUCCCUGAUAUUGAGAAUUCUUACCGAUCACGUACAUCACCGUACAUUAGCGCUCUGGUUGUAUAUAAUAAAAACUUGCUGGGAAUACUGCCUAAAUGUACUUUUAUUUAUAUAAAGCAGUGGCGGAUCCAGAGGGGGCGUAGAUAGCGUACGCCCCCCCUUUUGCUUGCACUUUUUUUUUUGUAAAAUGACUGUUAAUCAGACAAGACUUCGUGAAUUUAUCCAUUUCCCGUGUAUUUAAUUUUUAUGCAACAAUUCUUUACUUAUAAAGAUAUUUUUUGCUCGUAUUUAUGUAAUAUAUUUGAUGUCAAUGUCAGUCAUGUGAUUCGCUUGGGUGAAGCUGACCAGUGCGUCGAAAGAAAUCACUCUUAAGUCAUUGUGGAAUUCGCAAGUAACACAUUGCAUAGGCUGAGGAUGACAAGCAUAACACCUUCAAAGCGACAAAAGAUUGAGCCGCAAGAACGUAUUUGACUUCUGUUUCACAAUUCCACCAAACAGAAAAUAAUACUCUAUAUUUCACUCUCUGACAGGAAAAAAAAGUAUACAGCAAUAUUAUUUACACACGAAAGCAUGUUUAACCCCCACGCCCGAGCCUAUUAAUAAUAUAGCUGAAUAAUGUUCCAAAGUCAGUAAGCUCUAGAUAGAUGUAAAGUUUAAGGUACGGACCAUUUGGUUUGAGGAGGCAGUCAGAGAUAUUUGAAACAAAAAGUUCUGAGCAUGAUUUUUGCCUUAAAUAAAAAUGCUGGCCGUAUCUGGAUUGAAAGCAAUAAUCUUUUCAAUUUCCCAAAAACAUUAUUUAGCAUUAAAUUAACAGGAUGAAUAAAAAACGAGCGUAAUUUAUUUGGGGCCGGGGGUUACAUGUACAUCCCAUAUCUGACCGGAAUAUCUGUUUCGCCGAACUGAUAUAUUGAAUGUUUUUUUCAAGGCCCGCCUGCAACCUGUAAGGUGUGGCCUUUAUGACUCCAUUUGUCGUUCGUCAUGCAUAAAUUCAUUGCCAUUUCAGACUAAUUCGUAGCUUUUGGUUGGGUUGGAACCCGUCACUUUCCCUGUUGGGUGAAACAUUUCAACCAUACAUUUGAAUAAAAAUUGUUGUUUGUCUUUCUUUAUUCGUGUAGGUCGUAUUGUAAACAUAUAAUAGCCCGGCGCAUAUCUUAUUAACAAGAAAUCUGUUAGGUUACGCUAACUAAAAAUACAACAGACGAGAAUUUUCCAUGUCCAUUUUUACUUACAAGUCCCACAUAAAAUAUAUUGCUUUGGAUCCAUCCAAUCAUUUUAUGAUCGAAAUUUAAUGGGGAGAAUACGGUAUCAAAAUUUUAAACACUUACAAUUUAACUAUAAAAUAUAUAUGCCCCACGUCAGGAACCAUAAACAAAAGUGCAUCGUUUACACUUAUUUUAUGUUUUUCAACCAAAAAAAGGUCCGAAAAUAUUUCGCCUCGCUACGCUCGGCAAAGUUUCGAUACUUCGCCCCCCUUUCCAAAAUCCUGGAUUUGCCCCUGUAAAGCCCUGUAAAAAGCUCCCCUUGGGAACCGACAAGGAGGGCAAUUACUUAUGUAUUGAUACGCAUGCAAAUUGACUACUCCCCGAUUCCCAAAGUAACUAUUUAAAGCAGCUUUCAUCUACACGAGCGAGCCAAACAAGGUUAAAUCAUAAUGAAGAAGGGCUUGCUUAAUCAAUUAGUACACAACAAAUGGAUGUCAAAAAGUAUGGUUUUCCAAAAAAAAAAAUGCUAUAUUUUCUAGAUAAAAUGACCCUGAAAAAUCACACGCAUAUCUCAAAAUAAGAGUAACAAAAUGCUUUCGCCAUUGGUUUUUCAGUAAAUGAAGACAUUUGUAGUUAUACUAUUCCAAGGUUGAAAAAAUACACCGUUGCAUAUUAAGUAUUCAUUUGCCAACGGAUUGUCGAUUGUUCUUUGUCUUAAAAAUAUUUCCAUUUUUCUUUUGACCAAAUAAUAAUAAAGCAAACUUUGAUAUUGAAAUUUCCGUAGAAUUUGGAAUUUAAAACAAAACCAACAAUCACAGUAUAUGUUGGUUAAAUCAUCAUACAUUUUUUACAUUUUUUUGUAGUAUUUCCAACAAAUACAAGAAAAGUUACAAUUUCCCUUGAAUUUAUUUUACACCAUAUCAAUUUUUAACAAGACUUUCAAUUUUUCUAAAAAUCAUUGUACCAAAGCAUCGUACAAAUUGCUCAAACAACAAUUCUGAUGGGUUAUGGAAGCAUUGUACUUUUUAACCGGAUUUUUGUGACAAAAAUGUUGGUUAUUGAUUUGGGGAUGUACGGCGGGCGGCCGGUCGGGCGGGCGGCAAUCAAAUGUUGUCCGUGCAUUAACUCAUGAACCGUUCAACCAAAGCUUUUAAAAUUUUAAUAUGUUGUUACUGACAACUAAAUGAAGGUCAAGUUCAAUAAUUGCGAUUUUGUAUUUUACCGUUCAGGAGUUAUGGUUCUUGAAAGAUUGAAAAAUAGAGUUUCCAGUCGUGUCCGUGCAUUUACAUAUGAACUGUUCUACCAAACUUCCCAAAUUUUAAUAUGUUGUUACUGAUGACAAAAUGGAGGUCAAGUUCAAUAAUGACGAUUUUGACUUUUACCGUUCAGGAGUUAUGGUUCUUGAAAGAUUGAAAAAUGGUGUUUCCAGUCGUGUCCGUGCAUUUUCUCAUGAACCAUUCAACCAAAGCUUUUGAAAUUUUAGUAUGUUGUUACUGAUGACAAAAUGGAGGUCAAGUUCAAUAAUGACGAUUUUGACUUUUACCGUUUAGGAGUUAUGGUUCUUGAAAGAUUGAAAAAUGGUAUUUCCAGUCGUGUCCGUGCAUUUUCUCAUGAACCAUUCAACCAAAGCUUUUGAAAUUUUUAUAUGUUGUUACAGAUGACAAAAUAGAGGUCAAGUUCAAUAAUGACGAUUUUGAAUUUUACCGUUCAGGAGUUAUGGUUCUUGAAAGAUCGUAAAAUGGCGUUUCCAUUCACGUUGUUGCAUUUACUCAUGAACCAUUCAAUCUAAGCUUUUCAAAUUUUAAUAUGUUGAUACUGAUAACAAAAUGGAGGUCAAAUUUGAUAUUGACGACUUUCACUUUCACUAUUCAUCAGUAAUGGUUCUUGUGAUAUUGCCAGGACACAAAUAAAUGUUAAUAAAUCCGGUUUGCUGUCGUUGUGACAGCCUCUUGUUUAAAGAUAGUAUAAGGACAGAUAUGAAUUAUUUCAAUAAGGGUAACGAUUGGUUGUUUUUCGAUCCAAAUUUAAAAAACAAAACACGUGCAUUUUUUGUAAUUCUGUGCAAAAAUUGCCUACAGAUUGUCAUGAAUUUUUGUAUGUCAAAUGAAUUCAAAGUUUAAACAUAUUUGAUUUGCUCAAAGCAAAAAAGGAUCAGACAGCAGUAAAACAUACUUAUAAAGUCUUCUCCACAAUGCAGUUUAUAUAAUAUUAUACAAAUUGAACGCGAGCAUGCAUCAUAUAAUAUAAACAACAUAUAUAUUACUAAACAAUAAUGAAAAAAGGAGAGAAAAUGAGAAAAGAACGACAGAGGUUAGGAUGAUGAUGAUGAUGAUGAUAAUGAUAAUGAUGAUGAUGUGCGUUUUACUAAUUUUACCUAUGUUGAUACUAUACUACUAGGAAUCGUUUUGAUCUCCUUAUAGAAUUGAAUACUUGUUCAAAAAUUUGCACAUUUUGAUCAUAUUACUGAGUUUCUUUUCAAAAAACCAAUAGUUUUAAGUCCAAAUCGCAGUCUUCGGGGUGUCAGCUGAGACUAUUAAACAGAAUAUCUCUUUCAUUUAGAUAGAAAGGGCAAUCAAAGAAAAAAUGCUGCAUGUCCUAAAUAUCUAAAGAACAUUACAUGUUGGAUCAGAUAUAAUAUUAGCUCUUAACAAGGAGGUCAUAUAACCUCCUAGCUCUUAACAAGGAGGACAUAUAACCUCCUAGCUCUUAACAAGGAGGUCAUAUGACCUCCUAGCUCUUAACAAGGAGGUCAUAUGACCUCCUAGCUCUUAACAAGGAGGUCAUAUGACCUCCUAGCUCCUUAACAAGGAGGUCAUAUGACCUCCUAGCUCUUAACAAGGAGGUCAUAUAACCUCCUAGCUCUAAACAAGUCAUAUAACCUCCUGGCUCUAAACAAGUCAUAUAACCUCCUAGCUCUAAACAAGUCAUAUAACCUCCUAGCUCUAAACAAGUCAUAUAACCUCCUAGCUCUAAACAAUGUCAUAACCUCCUAGCUCUUAACAAGUCAUAUAACCUCCUAGAUCUUAACAAGUCAUAUAACCUCCUAGCUCUUAACAAGUCAUAUAACCUCCUAGCUCUAUACAAGUCAUAUAACCUCAUAGCUCUAAACAAGUCAUAUAACCUCAUAGCUCUAAACAAGUCAUAUAACCUAGCUCUUAACAAGAAGGUCAUAUAACCUCCUAGAUCUAAACAAGGAGGUCAUAUAACCUCCUAGCUCUCAACAAGGAGGUCAUAUAAACUCCUAGCUCUUAACAAGUCACAAUUCAAGACUAAUGACUACCAUUUAAAUAGGGUUAAUAUUAUAUUCAAUUUUCUUGGACCAUAUAAAUGAUGUUGAGAUUGAUUCUCAUUUAGAAUGUCGUGGUUUUUAUGCCCCACCUACGAUAGUAGAGGGGCAUUAUGUUUUCUGGUCUGUGCCUCCGUUCGUUCGUCCGUUCGUCCGUUCGUUCGUUCGUCCGUUCGUUCGACUUCAGGUUAAAGUUUUUGGUCAAGGUAGUUUUUGAUGAAGUUGAAGUCCAAUCCACUUGAAAUUUAGUACACAUGUUCCCCAUGAUAUGAUCUUUCUAAUUUUAAUGCCAAAUUAUAGUUUUGACCCCAAUUUCAUGGUCAACUGAACAUAGAAAAUGAAAGUGCGAAGUUCAGGUUAAAGUUUUUGGUCAAGGUAGUUUUUGAUGAAGUUAAAGUCACAACUACUUGAAACUUAGUACACAUGUUUCCUAUGAUAUGAUCUUUCUAAUUUUAAUUCCAAAUUAAAGUUUUGACCCCAAUUUCACGGUCCACUGAACAUGGAAAAUUAUAGUGCGAGUGGGGCAUCCGUGUACUAUGGACACAUUCUUGUUUAAUUCUUCUUUGAAUUAAAAUCUGUGAAGUAUACGAUUUAAUUUGUUUUCGUUUACAUAUUCCAAAUUGUUUUUAAACUUUAAAACUGGAUUUGAUACAGCGAGUGAAAUAGAUACAGGUAAAAACUGACACUUCCUCUUUUAUACUUAGGACGAGCGUGGAAGUAUUAUAUUGACAAUAUAAUACUUCCAUGGAACGAGCGGUUCAUUCAACCUAUGCCAACAUUUUGAAAUUUAGGUAUAAAAUUGUGUGAAAAAAUGUUGGCAUAGGUUGAAUAAUUUGUUACAGAUUAAGUGUUAUAUAAACAUAAAUUAAUUAGGGGCUAAACAAUCUACAACCAGUUUAAACCUAGCAUUAAAGUAUUAUCAAUAUACAAUUUCUUUAACAAGUACUAGUACUAGUGAAAAUGGAAGUAAUUGUUUGUGUUGACUGUUGAGGAUCUCUAUUUCAUAAAGGAAUUAGUUUAAAAUUGAUAUAAUGAAAUAAAGGGGGGAGGAUGUUAGGAUUUUUUUUUUACUUAAGGAACAAUCAUCUAGUCAUAUUAAAUAUCUAUCAGUGUCAUUUUCAUAAAUAUUAUAAAAAUAUAUGAUAAAAAUAAUAAAUUUUAUGUAAAAUAGAUUCCUUCAGAUACAAUGACAUAUAACACUAUUGAAACUCGUGUAUUUCAUAAAUACUAACUCAUGUAAAAUAUCUAUUUUAAAUGUUCACUAUUAAUUCCAACACCUACAGAGAUCUACAGAGAUUUAGACAAAUUUCAGUAAUAUGGUUGUCUCAAAAGUCAUACUAGUAUAAGAUUUGAUGCUGCAUCUGCACAAUUAACUGGUGUCAUGUUGUCCUUGGGUCUCUUGUGCCAGUUUUACAGAAUUAGCUCAGGAGUAAGACAUGUCUUCGGAUGGUUUUACGGCGUAUUAAUUAUUGUCCUUAGUGGGUUUCAAAAAGUGGUAUUAAGUUUGGACAUCUUUUAAAGUUGGUCACAAAGCAAUGACUACACAAUAUUUUUUUUAUAUAAAUUACAAUUAUUUUUAUAAGACUACAAACAAAAUUUGCGAUCAUAUUGUGGUAUCAUGUUGUCGUUGUCGUCCGCGUCAUCUGAAGACAGUUGGUUUCCCGACAAAUACAGUGCACUUUAGUACAAGAAAAUAGAAAUCUAUGAAAUUUAAACACAAGGUUUAUAACCUUGAAAGGAAAGUUUAGAUUGUUUUUGGGGGUUAUGGUCCCAACAGUUUUGGAAUUAAGGGCCAAAAAAAGGGACCUAAGUAAGCAUUUUAGUAGUUUCCAGACAAGGACUUGUGUUAAGUGUAUGAAUCUCUCUGUAAUUAUAACACAAGCUUCCAUACCACAAAGGAAUGGUUAGGAUUGACUGUGGGGGUUAUAGCUCCAACCAUUUAGGAAUCAGGGGCAAAAAAUGGGGAAAACAAGGGUUUCCUGGUUAAUGAACUAAAACAAAGUAAAUAAAUCGUGCACUAAUCCACUGGAAAGUUGUUGCCUCAAAAUGAACCAAAAAUGUUUUUCUUAUAUUUACUUCAAAUUCUAUAUAUAACAAAAUGAAUUUGAAAUAAAGAAAGUUUCUGUUGAAGUAUGUUUUAUUUGUAUAUUUUGUUGCUUGUUGAAGUAUGCUUCAUAUUUAAUACAACAAAAUUAAUUUUAAUUUUUAUAUUGCACAAAUGAAAUAGCUUUUUUUUCAAUUAUUGUUAUAUUUAAGUGUUUAAUUUUAGACCUAAUAAUCUAAACCUUUUUUACCAUUUUAUGUCGUAUUUGCAUUUUCUUUUAUGAAUGAUUUUAAUGCUAGAUACAUGAUGUACAGCUUUGUAUACCACUUGAUCAAAGGUAAACAAAUGUAUGGUGUAUGCUUUUGUAACAUUUACCUAUAUAUUUUUUAUACAAAAUUAAUGUCUAUCGAGUUUUUUAAUCUUUAUAGAACAGAGAACAAAAAAAAGCGCUUUACGUUUCCAUCCCAAGAGACGGUGUCACCUGUUUCAGUUAACAUUAGAAAAACAUAAUAGUUUGAAUGCUGAUCGUUAAUUGUGCAAAUUUGAAAAUUAAUAGUCAAUUAGAUAUCAUUCAAUACUCUGUUACAAUGUCAAUGGAACAAACUAAAUGCGAUUUCCUUAAAUUAUGUAUAAAUUCUACAAUUUCGUUUUUUUUGUUCUGUAACAGUGAAAAGAGUUUGGUAAAUGCUUUUAUGUAAAACUUCAGGUUUCAUCGAAAAGUUAUACCGGGAAUAAACAUUUCCUGCAUACAAUUUUUUUCAUUGUCAUAUUUUUUUUUUUCAAAUUAAGAGGUAUAGAAAUGUUAGAUUUUAAUCUACAAUUUCAGUAAAAAAAAUCAUCUGUUAAUCAUUAAUUUAAUUGAAAAUUUAGAUGAGGUUUCUAGAGAGAUACAUACAUAUUAAAAUUGAGAACAAGUGCUGAAAGGACACCUUUUAACUUUUUGGAUAUUUUUUUCGUUGUAAUAUAAGUUUAUUUAGAGGGUUGAGAUCUCAUAAACAUGUUUAACCCCGCCGCAUUUUUGCGCCUGUCCCAAGUCAGGAGCCUCUGGCCUUUGUUAGUCUUGUAUUAUUUUAAUUUUAGUUUCUUGUGUACAAUUUGGAAAUUAGUAUGGCGUUCAUUAUCACUGAACUAGUAUAUAUUUGUUUAGGGGGGCAACUGAAGGACGCCUCCGGGUGCGGGAAUUUCUCGCUACAUUGAAGACCUGUUGGCGACCUUCUGCUGUUGUUUUUUCUAUGGUCUUGUUGUUGUCUCUUUGACACAUUCCCCAUUUCCAUUCUCAAUUUUAUUAUUUGGUUAUGAUUGAUGAAUUUUACAUUGUCAUUUCGGGGCCUUUUAAUAAUCACUGUGCUUAAACGGCUGUGGGUAACUUAAGUUACCCACAGCCCAAGAUGGAGCCGCCUUGCGUCGGUUAGAUACUUUUCUUCUAUAGAAUAACAAUACCACGAAUGCAUCAAUUAAACAACUGAAUUUAAAAGUUGUAUUAAUCGUUUAGGGAAACCCCUAAACUGGAAAAGUGAUUAAAUUCUACAAAAUAAACGAUCACAGCACGAUUUUAAAAAACACUUGGGCUGUCCGUAACUUCAAAACAACUUGUCCGUAACUUUUUUCAUCAUACCAAUAGAGAUGUCCGUAACUUUCAAAGAAUCGACAUACGCGGAUGUAAUGUUUAAACUGAUGAUAGAGAUUUCAUCGAAUACAUAUUCACAAAACGAAGUAGAUGUCUAGUAUGAUUAAUUCAUUGUAUCGAUGGAAGACAAAAUUGGGAAAAAUAUGAAAAAAAUCACGACAAGUCCCCAAAAUUCGGAUCUCAUUGUGUAUAACGUCGGGGUACCCGAAUCGCCUAAUUCGGAGGGUUGUUUCCGAUCAUAGCAGAUAACCUGUUGACACAUCAUUGUUCGUUUUUAUUUUUGAACAAGAAGACUACACAAGUAUUUUUUACACAUACAUGUAGCAUGUAUACACUUACUGAUUUUCUGCCAGCAACGACAAGGGUAGCGUGAAUCCGGGAUUUUGGAGGGGAACCAAAAUUGCCCAGGCAUGCAGUGUAUAGACUAUACGAGACUUAAGUGCAUUUUUCCUUCUUUUUGAAAAGCCAAAAAACUUUUCUCGCAUCUCCACAAAAACAAAUCCCAUUAGCAUUGACAGUAAAAUAAAAGGGGUGUCAAUCUGGACACACUGGGACGUUGCGCACGGUGAUAUUGCGGCACCCAGGCCAAGAUUUACAGUAAAUGGGGAAAAAAGGACAUUUUGUAUAAAUGAAUAAACCUAGUUUUACAGCUAGCUGCAAUUUUCAUUGUAUGCAAGUUGCAUUAAAUCUCAUUAAACUGAAUAAAACUAAAGACACAAUAGGUAAAAGUCAGUGACAAUAAAAGGAAAAGAGCAGUCAACAAGGUUAACAUUCGACAUAGUAUAUAAAAAAUAAAAUAACUACAUAGAACAACAGGGGUAAUUAAUAGUCUAACAACCUCUGAUAAUAUACAAAGAGAGAAGAAAAAAACAUACUAGGAAACAUAUUCAAAAAAUCAUAACACUAUAACUAACUGGUGGGAUGUAUAAAUACCGAGCCGCGUCAAAGAGUAUUCAUCAAAAUACACAUAGAAGGAAACAGAGGUGAAGGUAAACCGCAAACAUAUAAUUAAACUCAAAACAUUAAAGAGUAUGGAAAAGCCCUGGUCUUACAAGCGAAAACGUCGAUAAGACGCACAUCAGCAAAUAAAAGUUCAAACCAUUAUAACCAGGAUGGAGUACCACAAACCCCACAUAAAACUUCUGUGGUGUAAGUAUGAUGCGUUAAUAAAAUCCCAUUUGGUGGUGAAUGAGUAGUAUAAACGGCCGCGAAGGUUACAAAUGUGAUGUUAAUUGUCUUCUAAUUGUUGUAAUUAUAAUUCUUAAAAUUUUAAAUCAAAAGUUACCCACAUCUAAAAAUAAAGUUACGGACAGUCUGCUUAGUUUCGAUCAAAAAGUUACGGACAUCUUAUGCAUAUUUUAAAGUUGACCUUGCGCUUUAGUGAACUCUAUAUUAACAAAUUUAUGGUAAUUGUUAGUCAUUUCUUUAUUCAGUAAUCCUAUAAAUAUUUACAUUCUGCAUGAAAAACGUCGCAAAAGGUACAUUUUGUAUGAAUUAGAUAUCAACGUGUUUAGAGUCCGCCAUCUUGGGCUGUGGGUAACUUAAGUUACCCACAGCCGUUUAAGCACAGUGAUAAUAGAAGGAGAAACACAACAGGUAACCAUCGACCGUUUUCCUUGGCUUAGUUCUAUAGCAGUAAAUGUUGUCAAAACACUAUUCACCUCAGAAAAAAGUCGCUCGCAGAUCUGCAUGUUCGUUUCUCACUUAUUAAAUGUGUCGUCAAUAUUUGCUAAUGCCCUCUUUUUUUAUUUCUAGGCUAUGCAUACAUGAUUUGAUUUCAUCCCUGGCUUCCGAGGUUCAUACAAAAUGUACUUCGGUCAACGCUUUGAAACCCCAAUGAAGUUACAAAAAAAAGCAUUCAAUUUUUAAGUAAAAUCCUUUUCAACUGAUUUUUGUAUUUUGUUCAUGUGUUGUUAUUAUAAAUCCCGUCCCAGGAUAGGAGGAGCUGGGCGCCCACAAAACCCACCGUAUUUGUAAUGUGCAUGUCCCAAGUCAGGACCCUAUACUUCAGUGGUUGUCGACUCGUAUGUUGUGGUCGAUGCCAUUGCUUGUGGAGUUUUAAUUCCCCGAGGGUUUCACCAGACCAGUAGUCAGCACUUGUGUGCUAACUGACAUGAAUUAUCUUUGGUAUGGUCAUAUUUUUAAAUUAACUAUUUACAAAACUUUUGAAUUUUUGAAAUACUAAGGCUUUUCUACCUCAGGAAUAAAUGUACCUUAGCUGUAUUUGGCAAACCUUUUAGGAAUUUUGGUCCUCAAUGCUCUUCAAAUUUGUACUUUAUUUGGCCUUUUUAACUUUUUUGGAUUCGAGCGUCCCUGCUGAGUCUUUUAAAGACGAAACCGCGUCUGGCGUAAAUACAAAAUUUAAUCCUGGUAUCUAUGAUGAGUUUAUUGUAUAAUAUAGUUGUUUUUCGUUUAUUAUUUUGUAUAUAUCAAGCAGUUUGUUUCCUCGUUUGAUUUUUUUACGUUUGUUAUGUAGAUAAAAAUGCAAUGAAGAACUAUACGAGUCCUAUAGAAAUUAUUUUUGUUGAAGGAGAGAAAACUGCAUACCGAAUGGUGUUGCAAAAAAAAAGGUUGUGUUAGGAAUAAAUAUUAUGUCUAAUUUCCCAGAUUUCCUGUGUUAAUAAGGAUUGGAAAGAUACCUGAACGAACUGCCAGAAUUGAUGAUGCUUACAUAGAUGAUUGACAAUUAAGGUGACAUUUUAAAUAAUACUGAGAUGGACCAUGCAUGUUAGAGAGCAAAUUGAUGAACUUGUUACACGCAUGAUCGUACAAUACACUUUGAUUUAAAGUGAUGGAGCAGUAAAAUGUAAACAGUAUAUAUUAUUAUUGAUAAAUCUAGACUAGCACUGACCGGAAAGUUGCUUGUUAAGUUGAGGUGUUCAUUUUGUGCAGGGGCAUUACUCUGGAACUAUUACAAUCAUGACAGGCAACUCAAGUUAUAGGACAAAAUGACAAAUUUUGCACUUAUUUUAAUUCAUAAAGUUUAACAACUCUGGAACCGUUGUUUGUUAUAUAUUACUUAAAUCAGACAUGACCGAUGUUACCAGGAUCUGGGCGCUGUGUAUGAAUUUCAAUACAGAUGGCGAAGCAAAUUGAAUAACAGAAAGAAAAAAGAUGUUGGGGAAGGGAGGAAGCAAAUUUUUCCUAUAAUACAUUGGUGGCUUCUGUUUUGCUGAAAGCUUUCUGAUUUAAAGAAGUCAUGCCUAUAGCUUUUUCAACAGCUCAGAGGUACAAAAAAACUUUUGGUUACACUUCAAGAUCAAGAAUAUUGAAUAUUUUGCCUAUUUUUCUUUUCAUUUGGAACGAAGGAUGAUAUAACGGAUGGGGUUAACAACCUUUUUUAAAAAGUCAAUGCUUCCUGAAUUUACUGUAUUUGAAGAGGAAGUUCAUUCAUUGUAUAUAUAUGUCUGUCAAUUUCCAUUUUUGUAUUUGUGAAAACGGUUCGAAUUUCGUCAAAUUACAUUAAAUAUAUGUUUUAUAAAACGGUUCGAAUUUCGUCAAAUUACAUAAAAUAUAUGUUUUAUAAUAUAAAAAAGAAGAUUUGGUAUGAUUGCCAAUGAGACAACUAUCCACAAAAUACCAAAAUGACACAUACAUUAACAACUAUAGGUCACCGUACGGCCUUCAACAAUGAGCAUAGCCCAUACCACAUAGUCAGCUAUAAAAGGCCCCGAUAAGACAAUGUAAAACAAUUCAAACGAGAAAACUAACGGCCUUUUUAUGUAAAAAAAAAAAAAAAAAUGAACGAAAAACAAAUAUGUAACACAUAAAUAAACGAGAACCACUGAAUUACAGGCUCCUGACUUGGGACAGGCACAUACAUAAAUAAUGUGGCGAGGUUAAACAUGUUAGCGGGAUCCCAACCCUCCCCCUAACCUGGGACAGUGGUUUAACAGUACAACAUAAGAACGAACUAUAAAAAUCAGUUGAAAAAGGCUUAACUCAUCAGAUGGACAAAAAUACAAGUGGACGUGAACGGUUCGAAUUUCGUCAAAUUACAUUAAAUAUAUGUUUUAUAAAACGGUUCGAAUUUCGUCAAAUGACAUUAAAUAUAUGUUUUAUAUUUCCUGGAUAAGGUCUAACCACAAAAAUUCAGUAUCCAAUCAAAUAAAUAUUGAACAUAUUUUACAAUUCUCUCAGAGAAAGUUACAGAUCCAUUAAAUUAAGUAUAUGAAAAAUAGCAACUUUUGUCCAACAUCUUAGAUAUAUACCCACAAAACAAAAUACUCUCAGUCAUGAAUUCUCAGAUAGAGCCCCCAUGAGUGGAACUUUAAAAAAAAAUAUUCGUGUUAUGUCAGUAAACCACUGUAGCAUUAUUCCAUGCAAAGCCUAUUAUUAAUGUCUCAUUUUGAUCAAAUUAUUAAGAGUAAUUCUCUGUAAGCACAAAAAUGACAAGGAAAUGGUAUGUCAUGAAAUCAGACAAAACUUGACUCAAUGGUGCAUUAUAGGCAUAAAACAUUAUUUAUAUAAAAAAUAUGUGUUGCUAUGGUAACACAUCAUAUUUAAAAAGAUUUUUUCGAUUCAAUAACUUUUAAACAAUUUUAACAUAACAAGGAAGUAGUUGUAGUGUGUUUAAUCCUUUUAAUUCUUCAGUCAAACAUACACCAUUAUUAAUUUAAAUUAUUUGUUUGACGGCUACUAUAAUUUACCAUCAAAAGCACAAUGGCAUUACGUAACUAAGGAGUACGCCGCCAUCUUGACUUUCUAAAAACCAUAAAUGUCCAGUAAAUGCAACAGAAUCUAAAAUGAAUUAGCACCUACCUCAAAACCUUCAUUUUAAUUAGAUAUUAUCUGAAUUUGAAGCGUACACGUAACGAAAUAAUCUUUUCCUUAAAAUUUUCAUUCGUGUGACGUACAUCAUGUUUUACCAUGACGUAAAUUCGCUAAAUCCUUCAUGAAAUUUCACGGAAUUGUAAUAAAAUUUUAUUUUUAUACAUUUUUAAAGCGUUUGGGCUUUUUUAUUGUUUUUUUGUUAAAUAUUCAUUACAAUAGAAACAACUGUUAUGCAAUUGUUUUAUAAUCUCAAUUUGCUGAAAAUCCCAGUAUCCUUGCAAGAAUGUGUACCACGCAUGAAUAGAUUACGAAAGUAGUUGUUUAUCGAAGUGUAAACCAAGAGAAAACUUCUAAUUGACCAAUCCAAUUCAAGUAUUUAUAGAUAUGCAAAUGAUAUUAGAAUUAUUGUAUGAUUCAAACAGGUUUUUUAAGAAAUUUAUUGGUGCAUAUAUACUAGAUUAAAUCACAAAUUAGCACAUACAAGUCUGAAUAUGUGAGUGAAAGUUUUGGUUUUUUUUUCUUUGUAGGAUGUCUUAUUUCAAACAUAUCUACAGUAGAGUCAAUACAACUCCAAGUGAUAGACGAUUCAGUUCACAUACAUUUCCAUCAACUGAAACAGAAGAUAAAUGUACCUGAAACAGAUUCAGAAGAUGUUUUGGUUUGCUCAACUGAGGGUUGCACAAAAACAUUUGCAAG